CCCUGUUGUUCGAGCAAAAAUAAUUUCUGACAAUGAGGUUAUGUUGACAAAAGUACGAAUAAUAAUGGUAUAAAUUACUUUUGAAGGGUAUUUCAAAGUAUUUUCGAAAGGUUUGAAGGGUGGAGAUAUGGGUUGAUUUCCACACCAACUCUUCGAAAUUUGCGAAAAGCAAAAUAUUUAUAGCUCAUUUUAGGGCACAUUCAAAGGGUUUAAGGAACUGGAAAGGAAAUAUGGGCCGUUAUUACUUUUUGUUGAUGAAGUUUAAGAACAGUGUCAACUUUUGAAUGGCAUUUUAGGGCAGUUCUCGUGGUUUAAAAGGAAUUGAAAAGUUGGCAGAUCAUUAAGGGACUCCUUAACUAUUAUAUAUUGAUAAGAAACCCUAAAUUGUUUCAUUACUUCGGAAAAUAUGAACUGUUUUCUAUGCAAACUGAUCAAGAUGUGAGAAAAAUAAAUGUUUGAUUGUUA